UACGUAGGGAGCAAGCGUUAUCCGGAUUUACUGGGUGUAAAGGGCGUGUAGGCGGGCCUGCAAGUCAGAAGUGAAAUCUGGGGGCUUAACCCCCAAACUGCUUUUGAAACUGCGGGUCUUGAGUGAUGGAGAGGCAGGCGGAAUUCCCAGUGUAGCGGUGAAAUGCGUAGAUAUCAGGAGGAACACCGGCGGCGAAGGCGGCCUGCUGGACUGAAACUGACGUUGAGGCUCGAAAGCGUGGGGAGCAAACAGG
rnacentral:rRNA from 1 species